rnacentral:lncRNA from 1 species
GUGGCCUUGAAACCUUCACUGUAUUUGGACAGAUGCAACAGAAGCACGUCUCCCCCACUGUCACCCCAUCCCACAACAAAGUGGGAAUCCCAUCAUGGGUAUGGCUGUGCCAGGCAUGGCAUCGGGUGUGCCCCAUGCAGCCUACUUCUUGCAUGCACAGUUGGUACAUUUAGCUGUAUGGCAUCGGGUGUGCCCCACGCAGCCUACUUCUUGCAUGCACAGUUGGUACAUUCAGCUGUACACUUAACAGCCUGUACAGGAAAAUGAGCCUUAGUUGUAGCCCCAAGGAAAUCCAAACCCAUGCUUGUGAGAUAUGGAGAAACCACUGGUUGCCUAGAGAAAGCAUUAAGGUGUAUUUCCAGUUCCCCUUUCAUGUUGGUGAAAGACACCUAUUCACACUCUAAUUAAUCAUGGGAGAUAAGCAUGUUACCUUCUGCACCUUGACUUUGCUCGUGAGCACCUGGCUUUCCUCUUCCUCCUUCUCCCCUCUCUCCCUGUCUCAGUGUGCAUCUGUGCAGAUGUGGGCCAGUCCCCCUGUAACCAGUGGUUACAGAAUGAUACCAUCUGUUCUAAGAUGUGGUCAGCUUUACUUCUCAGGAGUCCUGUCCUACAAUUCAGAGCACCCCUAGAUGGGAUGGAACCAGUGCUUUAUGAUCAUGUUCCUCUUCUCUGUGCCCUGUCCUUCGGCACCCCCAUGUUAGUCAUGAUCCUCAUUGUGCAGGGCUGGCUGGACUGAGAAUUGCAACUCCAGGACAGCAGGGAGCUUUGGGACUAGGCACGCAGGGGUUUUGUCAUCCAUUUGAACCAUAAUUUGCAUAUUUUCUUACGGCCUCCCUUUGUCUUUUCUAAACAAAUGAGGCAGACACUUGAACAGUAAUGCUGGAGAAUGUUUUUUCUAGGAGACUUUGUAAGCAAAUCUGAUUUUAAGAUGAAAUGUGAAUGAGAAACUAGGUGCCAGGGAAUUUAGCACUGAACUAGACAGUCAAAACUUUUUUAACUUUGCAGGAAGAAAUAAAUUUUGCUCUCGUCUAAAUGUUCACAAGAAGUAAUGUUGUAAAUAGUUUUCUAAAAAUAUUUAUUACUUGUGCUGUAUACAAAUUCAUGUUCUGAGUGAUGUUGGUUUGCAUUGUAGUAUUAUAGAAUAUAUUUUGAGCAGUGGACUUCCUUUCAUAACACAGUUCACACAUGGAGAAAGAACAAAAACCAGCAGGUUGAGAGCUGUUUGGGGCCUUUGAUCUGUAAUGUUACAUCAAAUCUGAGCUUUAACUGCCCCCUCUUCUCAUCUGGUUAUGUUAUAUUAUAUAUAUAUAUUAUAUAUAUAUAUAUACAGGUGUAUGAUAAACUGGUCAGUGGUCAGUACUCAGAUCUGCAGAGCAGAUUUCCAGAUGUUCUUUCUGAUGUGUUGCCCAUAAGCAAUAAGAUCCUAGGUAAUAACAUUUAUUCCAGGGCCCACAUUGGCCCUUGUCUCAGAGGAUAGGGUGGGGGUAGAACAGCUCUUGCUAAGACCUCUUGCCUUUGCUGGAGAGGUUGCUGUACUUGAAUUUUUGCUUCUGUUUGUCUGCACGCUCCUUCAUGUCAUAGAACUCUAGCAAUGGAUGAGAAAUCUGCCAGCACCAGACACAUCAAAAUUGGGCACAUAGAUGGAAAAUUUUGCAAUUUUUCAUGAAUUUAUAGGGUUUCCAGAAUCUAGUUGAGGCAAAGCUCAUUUGGCUAUAGAGUAAAUGUAAGACUUGUUACAACAGAAAUUUAAGUGGCCAGUUCAAUGUCCUUUGGCUAUAUUUGACCUACCUUUAAAACCUAGCCCAUUUCAUAUCAGCCUCUUCUGUGCCUGGGCUUGAAAUGUCUAAAGCUGCCUUCGUGUCUGGGAUUACACCAUGUAGGUCAGUAUAAAGAGGGCAGUCACUCCUCCAUUUCUCCCAGCGUGUCCAGUUCAGCAGAUUUCUAAAGCUGUUAAGCAGCCUCUCUUUUUGACCGUCCUAAACUUUGUGAAAAUAAAUACCCCACACCCAGAUAACCAUUAAUAGAAGUAAUGUAGUUUUUUAGGCUUUUGGAAUAUGUCUUCUCUUUUGUAUUUAUGAUGGUGUUUGGAAUUUUUCACUAGUGUAUUUUUAGACUGAAGUGGGUGCAUUAGGAUAAAACUUUCCCUUGCUGAGCCUGAAGGCAAGCAAGAGGGAAGAAAUUGACCUGUAUUGUAUCAUUGGGGAGGCGACUACUUCUUGUGGUGGUAGGGGGUGGGGGGAAUGGGGCAUUGUAGAUUAUGUGGGGGUACAAUAGAAUUCUGGCCUGAGGCUCCCCAAGUCUUAUUACCUUGUAUGAAAAAUCCCCAUAUUAGCCUCACUUAAUCUCAAUAGAAGCCUGCUGUUUACCCUCAGGGAACAAGUAGUUUUCAAAAUUGAGCUCCUCCAAGGUCAUUGGCCAAUGCUGUGUGCAGGCAUUGGUCAUCUUUGUAAACUCAUGGCAUUAUUUCCUCAUAUGCAUUAUGAUACUAAGAAAUUCAACCCCAACCUGUAUGAAAAGCACAGCCCAGGGCCCUAAUUGAGGCUAGCAUGAAUGCCUUUGAGGGGCCAGGGGGCCAUAGGAGGCCCAUGCAAUUUAACUGAAGCUCAGGUGCCACGUUGGAUUUUUAUUCUUAUUAGGCCGCAACCUUUCUGAAUGAGUUUAGGGCAGGGGCUGCUGAUCCGGCUGUGGAUUCAGGGAGCUCUAAAAUGAAUCUCUACCGUUCCUUUAAAGGUCUUUCUGGUUCCUCCCAGUGUUGUCAUUGCUGAGGUCGAUCUCGUAGUUGUUCAGUUGUGCUCUUUUUGCUGUCUUGUGAGUCUUAGCCAGUGAUCCAGCUGCCCAAGGACAGGGCCUCCAGAGGGCCUAGCGCCCUCCUGGUACCAAGCGUGUGCUCCUGGCCUGUGUGACAGUGUCUUUCCCGAAGCAGUGAAAUGAGAAAUUCUGCAAGUGGCCACCCGGAAGAUCAGUCUGUAGCUCUUGGGCCUGGAUUUCUACUAUGUUAGUGAGUGUAGGAAUAUACUGUGUCUUUAAUGGAUGAAAAUUCAAUGUAUGCUGUGAAUUUGUUGGUUUGAAACAUUGAAAUUUUUCAUUAGACAAUGUUUACAUACCUCACCUGAAGAACCUUUGAGAGUGUAUAUAUAAAAUUUUAAAAUAUAUUAAGUUGCUUUAAAACAAUAUGUAUAGCUAUAAAAGUUGGAGUUAUUUUAACUUUGAAUAUGUACCAAGUCUCUUAAAUAUUGAAAUCUUGUAGACUUCUUGUGCUUCUGUGUUUUGCUUUCCUAUCAGGCCAUGUAGGAAACUGUGUUCUUGUUAUUGGUAGAGGGGCCCUCACUGAAAUCCAAGCUUGGAAGGAUGUCCUGUGUUGUUUCAGAUUCUCUUGUUUGGUUUUGAAGGAUGCGGUGUGGAGCCAGAGGAUGUGUGGGAGGGGUUUCUCUAACACUGACUUCUAUUCCAUGAGCUUUUUCAAGGCGCUUAUUUUAUGGCAGCGUAUUAAACUUCUUUGAUAUUCAAGUG